rnacentral:rRNA from 1 species
AUUGAACGCUGGCGGCAGGCCUAACACAUGCAAGUCGAGCGGAUGAAGGGAGCUUGCUCUCUGAUUUAGCGGCGGACGGGUGAGUAAUGCCUAGGAAUCUGCCUGGUAGUGGGGGAUAACGUUCCGAAAGGAACGCUAAUACCGCAUACGUCCUACGGGAGAAAGCGGGGGAUCUUCGGACCUCGCGCUAUCAGAUGAGCCUAGGUCGGAUUAGCUAGUUGGUGAGGUAAAGGCUCACCAAGGCGACGAUCCGUAACUGGGCUGAGAGGAUGAUCAGUCACACUGGAACUGAGACACGGUCCAGACUCCUACGGGAGGCAGCAGUGGGGAAUAUUGGACAAUGGGCGAAAGCCUGAUCCAGCCAUGCCGCGUGUGUGAAGAAGGUCUUCGGAUUGUAAAGCACUUUAAGUUGGGAGGAAGGGUUGUAGAUUAAUACUCUGCAAUUUUGACGUUACCGACAGAAUAAGCACCGGCUAACUACGUGCCAGCAGCCGCCGUAAAAC